rnacentral:lncRNA from 1 species
CACCUACUAAAAGGAGGCGGUCAGAGAUUUCUAGAAGUAGAAGAAGAGCAUUUAAAAGGGACUGAGAUAGCUGACAGAAUGGUACCCCAGGAGCCUUCCAGAAGUGUGCAAUCAGGAGCAGAAUACCCACAAGCUUCCUGUCCACUUCUUCGUUCUCCAAGAACUAGACAAUGUAUUGCCCUGGGAACUUCUUGAUCCUCUUAUCUGUCUGCCUUAUCGCUACGUCCCUUGGUAAUCACCAAAGUAACAGCCACCAAUGCCUUGAAAGUGUGCAGUGGAGUGAGCUCUUAAAGGAGAUUGAGAAACUGAACAAAAGAGGCUUUUCUUUGGAAUGUGAGGAAGUGAACAGUGAAGAUUUGUGUUUCCCUGAGAAGAUGCUAAAAGCAGUUAAAUAUGAUAGUGCCACCAUUGUUCAUAUAGUGCACGAAAUUGCUGAGUUUUUCAAGAGAGCAGACACACCUUUUCAAAAUAAGAACAAUUUUCUAAGAGGAAUGUAUGAAGCUCAUGCUCAGCUCAAGACUUGUCUGAAGUCUGGAUUUAACUUUAUCCAUGAAUCCAUAGUGAAGGACUGCUUCAAAAAAAUGGAUAAGUUGGUGGCCAAGAAAAAUAAUCACUGUACUUGGCAAGAGAUCCAUGCACAAUCCAGAGAGUUACUUCAAAGAAUUGAAAAUUACUCCUUCAAGAGAAGAUCAAUACAAUAAGAAUGUCAGUUUCAAUCAAAUACUUUGAGGAUCACAUCAAGAUAAAUUAUCCAAUUUUUCUAAAGAUGAAAGGAAGUAGCAUAUACAUAGUUCCUAUUUAAGGUUUUAAAUCACUUAAUUUAUUUUUGUCAAGA